rnacentral:rRNA from 1 species
UGCAAGCGUUAAUCGGAAUUACUGGGCGUAAAGCGUGCGCAGGCGGUUCGUUGUGUCGGCGGUGAAAGCCCCGGGCUUAACCUGGGAAUGGCCGUUGAAACUGGCGAACUGGAGUGUGGCAGAGGGGGGUGGAAUUCCGCGUGUAGCAGUGAAAUGCGUAGAGAUGCGGAGGAACACCGAUGGCGAAGGCGGCCCCCUGGGCUAACACUGACGCUCAGGCACGAAAGCGUGGGGAGCAAACAGG